GACACGUGAAAUCCCGUCUGAACCCGGAACGACUAUGUUCCAAGGCUAAAUAUUGUGUUUGAGCGAUAGUGAACAAGUACCGCGAGGGAAAGGUGAAAAGCAGCCCGAGAGGGCGAUGAAAUAGUUUCUGAAACCGUACACUUACAAAGAAUCAGAGCUCAAGCGCGCGCAAGCGAGUGCUGGGUGAUGGUGUGCCUAUUGAAGAAUGAGCCAACGAGUUUAUCGACUGUUGCAGGUUAAGCCCCUCUGGGGUGGAGCCACAGUGAAAGCGAGGAUUAAUAGUCCGUUUGUAGCAGCGAUAAGACCCGAAACGGUGUGAGCGACCCAUGGCCAGGCUGAAUGUUUUAGAAAUAAAACAGAAGGGCCGAACCAACCAGCUGUGCAAAACUGGUGGAUGAGCUGUGGGUAGGGGAGAAAUUCCAAUCGAACACCGUGAUAGCUGGUUCUCCUCGAAACAUCUUUAGGGAUGGCCUCGAGUAUUCCCGCCGGAGGUAGAGCUACUGAAUGAAAACAGGGGCGCAAGCCUACUUUUUUCAACCAAACUCCGAAUGCCGGCGAUUAACAACUCGGGAGUCAGACGGUGGGGGCUAAGCUCCAUCGUCUAAAGGGAAACAGCCCAGACCAUCAACUAAGGUCCCCAAAUCAAUGCUAAGUGUAAAAAGUGGUUUUGUAGCUUUGACAACCAGGAUGUUGGCUUAGAAGCAGCCACCAUUCAAAGAAAGCGUAACAGCUCACUGGUCGAGCCGCAGAGCGCUGAAAAUAUACCGGGGCUAAGCAUUGUACCGAAGUUAUGGAUGCAUGAAGGAUUCGUCCGACAUGCGUGGUAGAGGAGCGUUCCAUUCAGCAGUGAAGUUGGACCCGCGAGGGCCGAUGGAGCGAAUGGAAGUGAGAAUGUUGGCAUAAGUAGCAGAAACGGGUGUGAGAAUCACCCGCACCGUAAAUCCAAGGUUUCCUGGGCAACGCGAAUCGUCCCAGGGUUAGUCGAUCCUAAGCUCAGGCCGAAAGGCGUAGGCGAUGGAAGAGCAGGUUAAUAUUCCUGCACUAUGAUAGUGGAGUUUUGUUCGUGCGCAUCUUCAAGAUGAGAGCGGAAUUUGGUUAUGACCGUAUCGCAAGAUCGAGGUGAAGUCUUCGGAUGGAUCCAAGUUUGGUCAAGAAGGUGCCUAGAAAAGCGCGCAAAACGUUGAAAUUAUUAUAACCGUACCGGAAACCGACACAGGUGGAUGGGCAUGAAUAUGCCAAGGUGUACGAGAGAACCCUCGUUAAGGAACUAGGCAAAAAAGUAGGCGUAACUUCGGGAUAAGCCUUACCUCUCGCAAGAGAGGUCGCAGCGAAAGAUAUCAGGCGACUGUUUACCUAAAACACAGCUCCAUGCGAAACCGUAAGGUGAUGUAUAUGGGGCGAUGCCUGGCCAGUGUCCGAAUGUUAAGGUGAGGGGUUAGCCGCAAGGCGAAGCCUUAAGCUGAAGCACGGAUGAACGCCGGCCGUAACUAUAA
rnacentral:rRNA from 1 species